rnacentral:rRNA from 1 species
UACGUAGGCAGCAAGCGUUGUUCGGAAUUACUGGGCGUAAAGAGUGUGUAGGCGGUGCUCUAAGUUCGGUGUGAAAUCUCCCGGCUUAACUGGGAGGGUGCGCCGGAAACUGGAGUGCUCGAGCGUGGGAGAGGAAAGCGGAAUUCCUGGUGUAGCGGUGAAAUGCGUAGAUAUCAGGAGGAACACCUGCGGCGAAGGCGGAUCUCUGGGCCUUACCUGACGCUCAGGCGCGAAAGCUAGGGGAGCGAACAGG